GAUGAACGCUGACAGAAUGCUUAACACAUGCAAGUCAACUUGAAUUUGGGUUUUUAACUUAGAUUUGGGUGGCGGACGGGUGAGUAACGCGUAAAGAACUUGCCUCACAGCUAGGGACAACAUUUAGAAAUGAAUGCUAAUACCUGAUAUUAUGAUUUUAAGGCAUCUUAGAAUUAUGAAAGCUAUAAGCACUGUGAGAGAGCUUUGCGUCCCAUUAGCUAGUUGGAGAGGUAACAGCUCACCAAGGCGAUGAUGGGUAGCCGGCCUGAGAGGGUGAACGGCCACAAGGGGACUGAGACACGGCCCUUACUCCUACGGGAGGCAGCAGUGGGGAAUAUUGGACAAUGGACCGAGAGUCUGAUCCAGCAAUUCUGUGUGCACGAUGAAGUUUUUCGGAAUGUAAAGUGCUUUCAGUUGGGAAGAAAAAAAUGACGGUACCAACAGAAGAAGUGACGGCUAAAUACGUGCCAGCAGCCGCGGUAAUACGUAUGUCACGAGCGUUAUCCGGAUUUAUUGGGCGUAAAGCGCGUCUAGGUGGUUAUGUAAGUCUGAUGUGAAAAUGCAGGGCUCAACUCUGUAUUGCGUUGGAAACUGUAUAACUAGAGUACUGGAGAGGUAAGCGGAGCUACAAGUGUAGAGGUGAAAUUCGUAGAUAUUUGUAGGAAUGCCGAUGGGGAAGCCAGCUUACUGGACAGAUACUGACGCUAAAGCGCGAAAGCGUGGGUAGCAAACAGG
rnacentral:rRNA from 1 species